GGCGGGGGGAACUCCACCGAUAAUACCACCACGACGGCCUCAGAAAAAGUAGUGAAUCCUGUGAACAACGAGAGAAAGGAUGAAUGGGCUACGGAGUUGCAGCCAAUUCCCGAUAUUGUCUCCACAGGAGAGAGAUGUGGACUUGGUCUGGAAGACUGGGAGAACAUGUUAUCGGAGCCGAACCAGGAACAGUCCUUAUUGAGGUGGAUCGCGGGGGAUGUGGAUGAAU
rnacentral:misc_RNA from 1 species